AGGAUCAUUAAUGAAAAAGACUUCCAAGUUUUUUUUUAUAUCCCUUUGUUUAUCUUACCCUGUUGCUUUCCACUGGACAUGUUUUUUUUACCUUGUGUAAAGAGACCUUUGGCUUGUGUGAGUUUCAUACAUGCCAGAGAGCUGCCAGUGGUAAGACUAUGUACCAAAACUUGAUUAUAAAAAAACACAUUUGUCUGAAUCUAUUGCUUCAAAUGAAAUAAAACUUUCAACAACGGAUCUCUAGGCUCUUGCAUCGAUGAANAACGCAGUGAAAUGCGAUAAGUAAUGUGAAUUGCAGAAUCUCGUGAAUCAUCGAAUCUUUGAACGCACAUUGCGCCCUAUGGUAUUCCGUAGGGCAUGCCUGUCUGAGCGUCAGCUACCCCCCCAACUCUAGUAUCCUUUUGUGGUGCUUGGAAUCCUUUGGAGAGGUGACUCUAUAAAGAGUCUCCCUUCAGAAAUUUAUAGGCAGUAUGGUUUGCACUUGAACCAGACGUAAUAAUAAUAAAAUCGUU
rnacentral:rRNA from 1 species